rnacentral:rRNA from 1 species
CCUACGGGAGGCAGCAGUCGAGAAUCUUUCACAAUGGGCGAAACCCUGAUGGUGCGACGCCGCGUGGGGGAAUGAAGUUCUUCGGAUUGUAAACCCCUGUCAUGUGGGAGCAAAUUAAAAAGAUAGUACCACAAGAGGAAGAGACGGCUAACUCUGUGCCAGCAGCCUCGGUAAUACAGAGGUCUCAAGCGUUGUGCGGAAUCACGGGGCGUAAAGCGUGCGUAGGCUGUUUCGUAAGACGUGUGUGAAAGGCGCGGGCUCAACCCUCGGAGGGCACAUGAGACUGGGAGACUAGAGUAUUGGAGAGGUAACCGGAAUUCUCGGUGUAGCAGUGAAAUGCGUAGAUAUCGAGAGGAACACUCGUGGCGAAGGCAGGUUACUGGACAUUAACUGACGCUGAGGCACGAAGGCCAGGGGAGCGAAAAGGAUUAGAUACCCUGGUAGUC